rnacentral:rRNA from 1 species
UACGUAGGGUGCAAGCGUUAAUCGGAAUUACUGGGCGUAAAGCGUGCGCAGGCGGUGAUGUAAGACAGAUGUGAAAUCCCCGGGCUCAACCUGGGAAUUGCAUUUGUGACUGUACGGCUAGAGUGUGUCAGAGGGGGGUAGAAUUCCACGUGUAGCAGUGAAAUGCGUAGAGAUGUGGAGGAAUACCGAUGGCGAAGGCAGCCCCCCUGGGAUAACACUGACGCUCAUGCACGAAAGCGUGGGGAGCAAACAGG